GGAUGUGGCUGGAGCGGUAGCAUGCUCGCCUGGCAUGUGUGCGGCCCGGGUUCGAUCCUCAGCACCACAUACA
rnacentral:tRNA from 1 species